CUUACUUCUCUAGGGUCCCUAUCUGAGGUUCAACUUGUGUCAUCGGGGCCUGGAACUGUAAAAUCAGGUCAAAAUCUCAAUUUGCUCUGUAAAGUUACUGGUGUUUCCAUCACUGAUGGUAGAUAUUCUUGGCACUGGUUCCGUCAGCCUCCAGGGAAAGGCUUAGAACGGAUAGCCGGAAUCUACCCGUACAGUGGGGGAAAAUCGCACUUAUCUUCUCUUCAAAGCCGCACCACCAUUUCUUCAGACAAUCCUAAGAAUGAAUAUUCCCUUCAGCUGAACUCCUUGUCAGCUUCUGACACUGCCGUGUAUUAUUGUGCCACAUCUUCUCUUCAAAGCCGCACCACCAUCACUUCAGACACCUCCAAGAAUGAGUUUUCCCUUCAGUUGAACUCCUUGUCAGCUUCUGACACUGCUGUGUAUUAUUGUGCAAGACGGGCACACUGA